UACGUAGGGGGCUAGCGUUGUCCGGAUUUAUUGGGCGUAAAGAGCGUGUAGGCGGCCAGGUAGGUCUGCUGUGAAAACUCGAGGCUCAACCUCGAGACGUCGGCGGAAACCAUCUGGCUAGAGUCCGGAAGAGGAGAGUGGAAUUCCUGGUGUAGCGGUGAAAUGCGCAGAUAUCAGGAAGAACACCCGUGGCGAAGGCGGCGCUCUGGGACGGUACUGACGCUGAGACGCGAAAGCGUGGGGAGCGAACAGG
rnacentral:rRNA from 1 species